UACGUAGGGGGCAAGCGUUGUCCGGAAUCAUUGGGCGUAAAGAGCGUGUAGGCGGCCCGGUAAGUCCGCUGUGAAAGUCCAGGGCUCAACCCUGGAAUGCCGGUGGAAACUGUCGGGCUAGAGUCCGGAAGAGGCGAGUGGAAUUCCUGGUGUAGCGGUGAAAUGCGCAGAUAUCAGGAGGAACACCGGUGGCGAAGGCGGCUUGCUGGGCCAGUUCUGACGCUGAGGAGCGAAAGCGUGGGGAGCGAACAGG
rnacentral:rRNA from 1 species